rnacentral:lncRNA from 1 species
UUUUUUUUUUUUUUUAACCAGCUAUGGCUUCUUUAAUUGGACAAAACAACCAUGCCUGUUUUUUUUUUAUUUAAACUUUUGUCAUUAAUCACUGGUAUCAUAACAUCCUCUUAAGGCAAGCUACCCUGUUGCUGUGUCCUCUCACUGCAGCAUCCAGAGUCAAGAAGGCUUCUGGUGAGGAUAAAAAUAGCCUUCCUGCUUGCUGGUUUGUUGUUAGCUUUCCUGGCAGUCGGAAAUCUUUUGAAUUCCUUAAUUAGGUCAGCUCCUUGGUAGCUUCUCUGCAGACAUUCCCUUAUGCUUGGAACUCUUAGUUGCUUUAGACCUUGCAACUUUACAGCUGCCUUGAAUUAGUUGGGUAGUCUUUCAUUCUGUAAAAAUAUAUUACAUUGGCUUUUACAAUCUUGCUUUCCACUGUCCUAUUACAAUUUAAAAUUGGAAUUUGAGGUUUUGGUACAAAAAGAAGGUGCCCUUUGUUUAUAUUAAUACUCGGAACCUAAGUGAGUUUUGAGGUUUCCCUUUCCUGAAAUCUUUCUGCUGCUGUGCUAGUUAUGGUAAAAGUUGGGUGCUUGAGUUUUGCUUUCUCUUUUUUUCUCAGAAAAGACAUACACCCCUGUUUGCAACCAAAGAUACUAGUAAACAUCUAAUUCCCUGAAGCCAAAAGAUUCCCUGGAUUAUUUUUGCCUUCUCCAAAAUUCCAGUUUAGUACUUACUAGACAAAAGAAGCUGCCUGGCGUCCUUUCUUGUGAAGGUGGAAAAUCAUUGCUUAUCUUUGCUUGUUGUUGGAACCGGGAAAGGAAUUGCUGUUAAUUGCUGAACUACUACUACACACUAGGGGUAGAGGGGUCUUAUCACUCUACAGAGCUUAUUUUAGGACUCUCUCACAAUGCCUAUAAAUGGAAAUAGGGAUCUCUGUGUCCCUAAUAUUCAGCAAUAUGAAAUAAAUUACAAGACUGUGAUUUUAUCCUUUUUCCUGUAUCUUCUAAGGCAAGAGACAUCACCACCUGCGCCCCCCGCCACCACAUUCAUCCAGCAGCUAAUUACUGAGUACUUUUCUGUGCCUGGGUUCUGGAAUCUAAGAGUUUAAGUCUGUUUUCAAAGAGUUUGCUUCCAUGGAGGAAGAGAUAGCAAGUCUGACAGUUAGUUUUGAUUGACAACACAACUAGAAUCACUAUGAAGAGAGGCUCAAUGAGCCUCAAUUUGGCCUGUGCAGGAUUGUUACUUGAGUUAACUGAAAUAGGAAGACUAUAUCCUGAAUGAUAACAUUUUAAUGGGCUGGGCCUUGAACCGAGUGAAUAGGAGAGAAUUAACUGAGCAUUAGGAAGCCUGCUCUAGCUGCUCUUGACUAUGGAUGUACUUCAGGUUCUUGCUGCCUCGAUUUCCCCACAAUGAUGGGUUGUAAUUUAGAAUUAUGAGCAAAAUAAAACCUUUCUUCCCUAAGUUCCUGCCUGGGGUAUUUUAUCGCAGCAACAGGAAAUGAAGCUAAGACAAUAUGUAUGAGACAAUAUGUAACCUUGUAUGAGAAGUGCUACCAUACAGAGUGAACCAGAGCAUGGGUGCCAUGAAAUUGGGAAGACUUCCAUAGGAAAUAAGGCCAACGAGGAGCUGCCUAUAGCAGCAGGGUAAGAGAUGGUAGAGGGAAUGGAGGUGGAGCUUGGGUGGUGAGACAAUGGGACUCAGAGAGAGGAGGGCAUUCCACAGGGGAAGUGGCCAGAAAUAGAGGUGAUGAGUUAGCAGGUCUGGAUGUCUGGUGGAUUUUGUAAGGGUAGGGAAAUGGCUCUGUGAACAGAUAGGAAAGAGCACAAGUGUAAGGAUUUUUCCUGGCUCUCACAUUAAUGGCCACAUCCAUCUUAACUCUAUGUAUAAAAUGUUUUAAAUGGGUCUUUAGAAGGAGCAAUAAUCUAUAGCUGGUAUCAGUGCCAGUUCUUCCUUUGUGAUUUUACAUAGAAAUGCUAUAAACAGUUGGUUCUAGGACAGGUAGGUCAUGAGACCAAGUAAGGUUAUGGACUUUGAUUGUUAAGCAGUUUUCUUAUCAUAAGGUACAGAGCAUAGUAAGUACAUUGCAUUAGGUCAUACUGACAUUAGUUCAGCAUUUGUGUAAAUACAAAGUUGGUAUCAUAACCAGUGAAUUUAUAAUGAGCCUUUAGCCUUUGCUAUAUGUUAUCCAGGUAUCCAUAGCACCAUCUUUCUACAAGUAUCAGGUAGUGUUGAUUAAAAACAAAAUUAUGUAAAGGCCAUUUGUUACCUUGUGAUAAUCAGAAUUUGUGAUAGUAUAGCUUUGACUUAGAUGUGAACUAAAUAAAAUUAUCACUCUCAGAGUUUUUCUUGAACAACUACUACAAUGUAUGUUCAUAUACAAACAUAUAUGCAUAUGUGUAUAUGUAUGGAAGUUAGGAAAUUUUAGUGUGAGUCACUGAAACCCUUCUCCUUUUCUUUUGGAGUAUCUAGGUUAUUUAGCUUGAGCCAAUUAAAAGAAUAACUUAGAAUGUCAUGUUAAUUGGGAUUGUAUAGAACCAACACAAUACGUAGGAUUGUAUAGUUAUGUUCUACACAGCAAAGCUGUUAUUUCUUAUAGAAUUUGACUUGUACCAUGUUACAAAUUGACUAUGAAGAAUAGGUCAUAGCAUGAUAUCCAGUGGCACUGUAGAAAUCUUGAUAGUUUUCAUUGUUUGUGUUUGAAGUAUAUGCUUUUAUUAUAUCAUUUCCUGAUGAAUCAUCUGCAGUGAUAAUAUCUGGGCUUCUCCUUGGAAAAUAAGUUCUAAUUAUGAACAUAACCUGUAUAUUUAUUACUAAUAAAAUAGAGCACUGCCUCUUAUCUCCUUGGACUUGCUUAGUCCUAAAAGAAUAUGAUAGUACAUACUGUUGUACUCUUCUUACUAGCUAUUAAUUCUAUUUGCUAAACAGUGGUUCUUUCCAACUAGCAGAUGCCCAGCAUGGAACUGUCAAGUUGGUACACAGACCUUUUCUAGCUGUAGAAUUUGGUAAUGUUUCCCAGAGUCAUACUGUAUCGGUUGCCUAUAUUUGGCUAGGUUGAAUAGUGUCUACAAAUAUAGCCUCUGGCUUCUGUAUGAGAUGUGCUAGGCUCUGGCUCCAAAUGCCAUAGCUGUCUCCAGAGACACAUUGCAUCUCUGGUGAUAGUGUCCUUUAAGAGAAGGAGUGCUGAUCAGGUAGAGGGUGUUCUGGGUUUUGGUUUGGUUUGGUUUGGUUUUAUGUCUACAACACAAUCAAUAGCAAAAGCCUUCGGGAUUGAAUUUUAGCCAUCAAAUAUGUUCAUUUGCUUAAUGUCCUAAUGUCAUCCUUUUUCCUUCAGGAACUAAAUAAAUGUACAAACAUAUUUAUAUAUAGACAAGUUAUCAAAAAAUGAACCCAGCAAGACCGCAGGCGCUCUCC